GGAUGUAGCUCAACUGGUAGAGCGGCGGUCUCCAAAACCGUAAGAUGGGCGUUCAAAUCACUUCAUCC
rnacentral:tRNA from 1 species